rnacentral:rRNA from 2 species
CAUGCAAGUCGAGCGAAUGGAAGGGAGCUUGCUCCCGGAAGUUAGCGGCGGACGGGUGAGUAACACGUGGGCAACCUGCCUGUAAGACUGGGAUAACUUCGGGAAACCGGAGCUAAUACCGGAUAAUUUCUUUCUUCUCAUGGAGGAAGGUUGAAAGAUGGCUUCGGCUAUCACUUACAGAUGGGCCCGCGGCGCAUUAGCUAGUUGGUGAGAUAACGGCUCACCAAGGCAACGAUGCGUAGCCGACCUGAGAGGGUGAUCGGCCACACUGGGACUGAGACACGGCCCAGACUCCUACGGGAGGCAGCAGUAGGGAAUCUUCCGCAAUGGACGAAAGUCUGACGGAGCAACGCCGCGUGAGUGAUGAAGGUUUUCGGAUCGUAAAACUCUGUUGUCAGGGAAGAACAAGUAUCG